rnacentral:rRNA from 1 species
GAGCUCAAGCUUAAAACCCAAAGGACUUGACGGUGUCCCAUCCACCUAGAGGAGCCUGUUCUAUAAUCGAUACUCCCCGAUCAACCCCACCACCUCUUGAAUAACCAGCCUGUAUACCUCCGUCGCAAGCUUACCAUGUGAACGUACUCAGUGAGCCUAAAGGUUAAAAACCCAAACGUCAGGUCAAGGUGCAGCCAACGAGGUGGAAAGUAAUGGGCUACAAUCUCUAUUUUAGAACACACAGAAAACUGCAUGCAAUACAGUAAUUGAAGGCGGAUUUAGAAGUAAAAAGAAAGUAGAGAGUUCUUUUUAAUAAGGCCCUGGGACGCGUACACACCGCCCGUCACCCUCUUCGACCCACUCCUGUAUAACACAUAUUUUGUAGAAGAGGCAAGUCGUAACAUGGUAAGCAUACUGGAAAGUGUGCUUGGAUUAACAAAAUGUAGCUUAAUAAAAAGCAUCUUGCUUACACCAAGAAUAUGUUAGCUAUUUACUAACCAUUUUGAGCCUAAAACCAAGCCCUAACCAACCGAAUAAUUAAACUACGCUAAUAAAAAAUAACAAAACAUUUUACUAACUAAGUAAAGGCGAUUAAAAAGCAUUUAGGAG